GACGUAGGGCGCGAGCGUUGUCCGGAUUUAUUGGGCGUAAAGAGCUCGUAGGCGGUGUGUCACGUCGGCCGUGAAAACCUGCAGCUUAACUGUGGGCGUGCGGUCGAUACGGGCAUCACUGGAGUUCGGCAGGGGGAGACUGGAAUUCCUGGUGUAGCGGUGAAAUGCGCAGAUAUCAGGAGGAACACCGGUGGCGAAGGCGGGUCUCUGGGCCGAUACUGACGCUGAGGAGCGAAAGCGUGGGGAGCAAACAGG
rnacentral:rRNA from 1 species